GGGUAGAGAGAGAGAGAGAGAGAGAGAGAGAGAGAGAGAGAGAUUUAAUUUAAAUUUAAAUUUUUAAAAUUUAUAGUUAUUUAAAAUUUAAAUUUAUAAUUUUAAAUUAUAAAUUUUAAUGUUUACAUUACUAAAUUUGAUAUUUUUAAUUUUUAAAUUUUUAAUUUAAUUUUUUAGAUUUUACUUUUAAAAUUUGAUACUUUAGAUUCUUUCAAAUUUAAAUUUGAUCUUAAAUUUAAAAUUUGAUAUUUAAAAUUUAAUUUUUGAAAAUUAAAAGUUUUAAUUUUAAUUUUAAAUUUUAAAUUUUAAAAGUUAAAAAUUGUUAAUUUAAAAUUAUAAGUUUAAAAUUUUAAAUUUAAUUAUAGGAUUAAAAUCAUUAUUUUCUAUUUAUAACUAUCAACUAUUCCAUCUUAUACUCACAUUUUCAUCCAAACAUAAUUUUUUUAAUUUUAAUUUAUACCCACAUUUUUAUUCAAAUAAAAAAAAAUUCUUUUUCCUACGAAAAUGUGAGUAUAAGAUGGAAUAGUUGAUAGUUAUAAAUAGAAAAUAAUGAUUUUAAUCCUAUAAUUAUUUUUUUAAUUUUAAUUUAUACCCACAUUUUUAUUCAAAUAAAAAAAAAUUCUUUUUCCUACGAAAAUUUAUACCUUUAUCUAUCUUUGGUAUAACUAGUUUUUACUUAUAUCCGAACCAUAUGAAUUAAUAAAAAAAAUUCCUUUGGGAAGGGGGUAUAUGGACGGUAAUGGAAGUGUAGGGG
rnacentral:lncRNA from 1 species